AUUGAACGCUGGCGGCAGGCCUAACACAUGCAAGUCGAGCGGAUGAAGGGAGCUUGCUCCUGGCUUCAGCGGCGGACGGGUGUGUAAUGCCUAGGAAUCUGCCUGGUAGUGGGGGAUAACGUCCGGAAACGGGCGCUAAUACCGCACACGUCCUGAGGGAGAAAGGGGGGGAUCUUCGGACCUCACGCUAUCAGAUGAGCCUAGGUCGGAUUAGCUAGUUGGUGGGGUAAAGGCCUACCAAGGCGACGAUCCGUAACUGGUCUGAGAGGAUGAUCAGUCACACUGGAACUGAGACACGGUCCAGACUCCUACGGGAGGCAGCAGUGGGGAAUAUUGGACAAUGGGCGCAAGCCUGAUCCAGCCAUGCCGCGUGUGUGAAGAAGGUCUUCGGAUUGUAAAGUGCUUUAAGUUGGAACGAAGAGCAGUAAGUUAAUACCUUGCUGUUUUGACGUUACCAAAAGAAUAAGCACCGGCUAACUUCGUG
rnacentral:rRNA from 1 species